ACGUUCUCUGGACUUUAUUCUAAGAAAUGAAACGAAAUGGUAUUUGGCAGACGAAAUCUCGUACAAAUCAGUACGGAAUCUAUUACUCAGUGGAAGAUGAAAAAGUUGUUGCCAGAUGUGUUAAAGAAAUUACCAAUGUGUUGAACAAAAAAUACUUUUUUAAUAAAUAUUUACGAAAUUUGUUGUUUGAAAAUUUAAAUUGUGGAAAUUAUUAUUCAUUACUAUUACAGUAUUAAAAAUGAUUAACUAACGGAAUACAAGCACUGUUUCGAUUGCCUCGAAGCCAAAGAUAAUGCUGGAUACAAAACAAAGUUUUAUGAAUGGGUGUGAUCUACGGAACUCAACAAAAUAGAUUCAUUUCUGAAGCGGUUGAUUAUUGGCGAUGAAAAAGUCACUUACGACGUUAAGCUAAACAGUCGUGGACAAAUUGUGGUGGCUAGCGAAAAACGUGGCCAGGCUAGAAUGGACGAUCAGGAAAGUUUUGCUAGGUGUGUGGUGAGAUUGACAGUUAUCAACUAUUAUGAGCUUCCCCCUGCGACCUUGGUAUUAAUUCGGACCAAUUCUGCCGACAAUUGAAUCGUAUUAAGGAAGCAAUCGCACAGAAACGGUCAGUUUUGAAAUUGUUAAAUAUGGAUAAUUUUUAGUAAUCAGACGCCCUCUGAUAGUACUAUUUUCAAAAGUAACUCCGGAGGACUUUAUGUUACAUCAGCGAUAGCGGUUGUUGCAUUGCAUGUACCAUAUACUUAUGUAUGUAUGUCAUAUAAACAUUUAUGGUUUAUUUCGGGACAGACUUUAGAUCACAUUAGUGUAUUGCAAUUUAUUUGAAAUAUUAACGUAUUCAGCGUUUUA